UACGUAGGGUGCAGCGUAGUCGGAAUACUGGGCGUAAAGCGUGCGCAGGCGGUGAUGUAAGACAGAUGUGAAAUCCCCGGGCUCAACCUGGGAACUGCAUUUGUGACUGCAUCGCUGGAGUGCGGCAGAGGGGGAUGGAAUUCCGCGUGUAGCAGUGAAAUGCGUAGAUAUGCGGAGGAACACCGAUGGCGAAGGCAAUCCCCUGGGCCUGCACUGACGCUCAUGCACGAAAGCGUGGGGAGCAAACAGG
rnacentral:rRNA from 1 species